rnacentral:lncRNA from 1 species
GCCUCAUUUAGAGGAGCAGCGCUCUCAGUUACUGGAGUGGAUUGCCCUCGAUUCAAUAACACUUGAAGAACUAGAAGAGAAAACACUGAACUUGCUGCAGGAUUCCCGGGGUGGUUUCUUCAGCUCUUAGCUCUGUUCAACCAACAUAAACUCUGCUUCUCCUUCCGACUUGACUUUGCACUACAAUCAUGCAAAAUAAUGCUGAUGGGAACCUCAGGCCCGGUGGCAUUGGAUUUCUACCAGAGGAAGAGUGGAACCUCUUUCUAUGUUCCAGUAUCCUGAUAAACAUUGAAAAUAUUUUCUCCAAGCCAAGAUUUGAUCGUAAGAAAAAGCAACUUCUCUGAAUGUAGUAGAAGCCCAUUAAAAACACAUUUCCAUGUUAAAUACUGAAAUGUCUCUGAGGUGCUCCAAGUCACUGCUGCUUAACUGAGCAAAGCAAAAGCAGCUUAUGGCCAACCACAACAUCUGGCUCCUCACAGUUCUCCAACAAUGUUGAGCACAUAACUGACACUCAGUAAUUUUUCAACAAAUGAAUAAAAGCAUGGCAAUUAGUAUGGUUAUGGAAGUCCUAAUCUGCAGACCAAAGUAUCUAAUGGCAGUGUCUUUAGGAUGCAUAUGUUCACAGGGAUGCACACACAAUCUAGCUGAGCUUUUGAAUGAAAAUGAAGAAACAUAUAAUCCUAUAAAUUU